AUACGGAGGAUGCGAGCGUUAUCCGGAUUUAUUGGGUUCAAAGGGAGCGUAGGUGGGAUAUUAAGUCAGCUGUGAAAGUUUGGGGCUCAACCUUAAAAUUGCAGUUGAUACUGGUUUCCUUGAGUACGGUACAGGUGGGCGGAAUUCGUGGUGUAGCGGUGAAAUGCUUAGAUAUCACGAAGAACUCCGAUCGCGAAGGCAGCUCACCGGGCCGGAACUGACACUGAUGCUCGAAAGUGCGGGUAUCAAACAGGAUUAGAUACCCUGGUAGUCCGCACAGUAAACGAUGAAUACUCGCUGUUUGCGAUACACGGUAAGCGGCCAAGCGAAAGCGUUAAGUAUUCCACCUGGGGAGUACGCCGGCAACGGUGAAACUCAAAUGAAUUGACGGGG
rnacentral:rRNA from 1 species